UACGUAGGGUGCGAGCGUUAAUCGGAAUUACUGGGCGUAAAGCGUGCGCAGGCGGUUCGUUGUGUCGGUGGUGAAAUCCCCGGGCUUAACCUGGGAAUGGCCAUGGAAACUGGCGAACUGGAGUGCGGCAGAGGGGGGUGGAAUUCCGCGCGUAGCAGUGAAAUGCGUAGAGAUGCGGAGGAACACCGAUGGCGAAGGCAGCCCCCCUGGGCUAGCACUGACGCUCAGGCACGAAAGCGUGGGGAGCAAACAGG
rnacentral:rRNA from 1 species